GGAAAAGCAGCCAACAAGUGCUCAGCAUAUGUAGGAACUCAAGACUUCUGGAAAAGCAUUCCAGUUUGGUAACGGGUCCGUCCUCAACUCCACACAGGAAAACUCUGCAACUCUAUGUCAAUACUGAGGCUGAAGACCAUAGAGGUUCUAAGGGAUUACCAAAGGUCAAAGAUAAUGAUAAAAACAGAGACAUUUAGCCCUGUUUCCCAUGUCCUAUUUUACUGUGGGUCCAUGAAAUCCCUUUAUGAGCUGCCAAUAUCAGCUAAAGUCAACAAAAAGGGCUCCAUGUCAAGCCUGGCCAUUCAGAAAGAUUUACUUUUGUCCGUAUAUAAUUUUCUUAAAGUCUUCUGUGUUUCAAAUGUUUAAAUUGUUGGGUAUCCUUAUGAUAUUGUUAAGUUUCUAACAAAAACAGUACAUCUAUAGACGGGUUGGCUGACAACGUCAUGAAAAUGAUGCACCCACAUCGAAGGGGCCCAGAAGUCGUGCGUUGUUAUGAUCCUGAACGGGCAGAUAGCUAGCAACAAUGACAAGAAGCUGCCAUGUGGGAAAACAUAGGUGGCUCGUUUUAGCUAGUUUUAACUUGUUCUUGAUACCAUCCCACUGGGCACAGACGUUAAUUCAAUGUCUAUUCCACAUUGGUUCCGUGUAAUUUCGUUGAAAUGACGUGGAAACAACAUAGAUUCAGCCUGUGUGCGCCCAGUGGGGUGUCUUGUUUGGAGGUGUUUUGACUGAUGUCAACGCUAAUAUGGCAACAAAAAAUUUACUAGCUAGCUAACCAACAACUGUAACAAUGUACUCGAGAGACAACAAGUGCACAUUGUGCAAAUGUAUUAAUUUGUUCAAUAAACAUGGAGACAAAA